rfam:Alligator mississippiensis ScZkoYb_187, whole genome shotgun sequence.
GCCAAAUGAUGUAAAACAGAUGACAUCAGCACUCUGUGCAAUGCUGACUUCCAUCUAUCACCCAUUACUGAUGGCU